rnacentral:rRNA from 1 species
UUUUGUAUAAUGGGUCAGCGACUUAUAUUCUGUAGCAAGGUUAACCGAAUAGGGGAGCCGAAGGGAAACCGAGUCUUAACUGGGCGUUAAGUUGCAGGGUAUAGACCCGAAACCCGGUGAUCUAGCCAUGGGCAGGUUGAAGGUUGGGUAACACUAACUGGAGGACCGAACCGACUAAUGUUGAAAAAUUAGCGGAUGACUUGUGGCUGGGGGUGAAAGGCCAAUCAAACCGGGAGAUAGCUGGUUCUCCCCGAAAGCUAUUUAGGUAGCGCCUCGUGAAUUCAUCUCCGGGGGUAGAGCACUGUUUCGGCAAGGGGGUCAUCCCGACUUACCAACCCGAUGCAAACUGCGAAUACCGGAGAAUGUUAUCACGGGAGACACACGGCGGGUGCUAACGUCCGUCG